CCCUGUGGCGCCGGUGCUCCUGAAGGGAGGUUGAAGACGACGUCGUUUAUAGGCCGGGGGUGUAAGGGCAGCGAUGCGUUGAGCUUACCGGUACUAAUGACCCGUGAGGCUUAACCUUACAACGCCAGAGGCGUUUUG
rnacentral:rRNA from 1 species